AUUGAACGCUGGCGGCAUGCCUUACACAUGCAAGUCGAACGGUAACAGGUCUUCGGAUGCUGACGAGUGGCGAACGGGUGAGUAAUACAUCGGAACGUGCCCGAGAGUGGGGGAUAACGAAGCGAAAGCUUUGCUAAUACCGCAUACGAUCUCAGGAUGAAUGCAGGGGACCGCAAGGCCUUGCGCUCACGGAGCGGCCGAUGGCAGAUUAGGUAGUUGGUGGGAUAAAAGCUUACCAAGCCGACGAUCUGUAGCUGGCCUGAGAGGACGACCAGCCACACGGGGACUGGGACACGGCCCAGACUCCUACGGGAGGCAGCAGUGGGGAAUUUUGGACAAUGGGCGCAAGCCUGAUCCAGCAGUGCCGCGUGCAGGAUGAAGGCCUUCGGGUUGUAAACUGCUUUUGUACGGAACGAAAAGCCCUGGGUUAAUACCCUGGGGUCAUGACGGUACCGUAAGAAUAAGCACCGGCUAACUACGUGCCAGCAGCCGCAGUAACAC
rnacentral:rRNA from 1 species